rnacentral:rRNA from 1 species
AUUGAACGCUGGCGGCAUGCUUUACACAUGCAAGUCGAACGGUAACAGGCCGCAAGGUGCUGACGAGUGGCGAACGGGUGAGUAAUGCAUCGGAACGUGCCCAGUCGUGGGGGAUAACGCAGCGAAAGCUGCGCUAAUACCGCAUACGAUCUAUGGAUGAAAGCGGGGGACCGCAAGGCCUCGCGCGAUUGGAGCGGCCGAUGUCAGAUUAGGUAGUUGGUGGGGUAAAGGCUCACCAAGCCAACGAUCUGUAGCUGGUCUGAGAGGACGACCAGCCACACUGGGACUGAGACACGGCCCAGACUCCUACGGGAGGCAGCAGUGGGGAAUUUUGGACAAUGGGCGCAAGCCUGAUCCAGCAAUGCCGCGUGCAGGAAGAAGGCCUUCGGGUUGUAAACUGCUUUUGUACGGAACGAAACGGCUCUGGUUAAUACCUGGGGCUAAUGACGGUACCGUAAGAACAAGCACCGGCUAACUACGUGCCAGCCGCCGCGGUAAUAC